rnacentral:rRNA from 1 species
CUACGGAGGGUGCGAGCGUUGUUCGGAAUUACUGGGCGUAAAGGGCGCGCAGGCGGCUUGAUAAGUCAGAUGUGAAAGCCCACGGCUCAACCGUGGAAGUGCGUCUGAAACUGUCUGGCUUGAGUACUGGAGAGGAAAGUGGAAUUCCUGGUGUAGAGGUGAAAUUCGUAGAUAUCAGGAGGAACACCGGUGGCGAAGGCGACUUUCUGGACAGAUACUGACGCUGAGGCGCGAAAGCGUGGGGAGCAAACAGGAUUAGAAACCCUUGUAGUCC